GUUUGAUCCUGGCUCAGGACGAACGCUGGCGGCGUGCCUAAUACAUGCAAGUCGAGCGAACCACUUCGGUGGUUAGCGGCGGACGGGUGAGUAACACGUGGGCAACCUGCCUGUAAGACUGGGAUAACUUCGGGAAACCGGAGCUAAUACCGGAUAAUCCUUUUCCUCUCAUGAGGRAAAGCUGAAAGACGGUUUCGGCUGUCACUUACAGAUGGGCCCGCGGCGCAUUAGCUAGUUGGUGAGGUAACGGCUCACCAAGGCGACGAUGCGUAGCCGACCUGAGAGGGUGAUCGGCCACACUGGGACUGAGACACGGCCCAGACUCCUACGGGAGGCAGCAGUAGGGAAUCUUCCACAAUGGACGAAAGUCUGAUGGAGCAACGCCGCGUGAGCGAUGAAGGCCUUCGGGUCGUAAAGY
rnacentral:rRNA from 1 species